rnacentral:lncRNA from 1 species
CAGCUGAAUGACCAGUACCUGGAGCUGCUAGAGAAGCAGAGGCUGUACUUCAAGACUGUGAAGGAGUUCAAGGAGGUAACUCAGUCCCUCGUCGGGCCACCACCAUUAUUGAGGAGGAGGUGGCGAUGGGGGCUGGCUUGCUGCUCCCCGGGCUCCACCCCAUCCCUUCAGCCAGAGCAAUUCUGCUCUUACAUCUGCAGUUCCAGGAGGGCCACAGGAACGAGGUGCUGCUGUACAAGGUGGGAGCCAAGGCCUCCUGAGAGCCCCCGACAUCAUCAGCGCACGGCCGGGGUUCUCUAAAUGCCACAUACUGACAACAAGGCUGUGAAAUGGUUCUGAACGCUGCAUAGAGAGAUGCUGGUGCAGUGACCUCAACACCCUGGACAUGUUCUUGCUCCG